AUCUGCUUGAAAGGUCCUAAAAAAUGCUUAGUGGGACUGGUCAGACUUGCUGAUUGUAAGAUGGAGUCUUCAGCCAUUGGACAGCAAAAGGUCUUUGAGACACAGAACCAGCGAUUUUGAGCUGAAGUUGAAAGAGAGGAUUUUCUACCCUGCCCACCCCCAACCCCAAAGGAUGAUUAGCAGAUCAAGGUCAACAAGCUGGCCAAGAACAUACAACUUAAGCAAAUGGAGAAGAGGCUGUCAGUAUUAACAACUGGUUACAGUUGUAGAGGCAUAUCUGAUUCCUCUUGUUUGGGUUUAGAGUCCUCCUUGCGCUGCUGCUGU